UCUUCUCGACAAUAGUUUGUCGAUAUGUCGUGCUGAUUUUUUAUCGGUUGUUCAAACCGGUCCGAUAAGUUCGACCCGAAGAACUCGAAUUUUGGAGGUAGGAUUACUUAUGUUGAUAAUAUACUCUUAUAUUUAUUAUCAUUUCUCUUGAACGUUGACUUGCUUUUGGGAAUAGUGUAUAUGCAGGCAUCUCGUGAGGAGCCGAAAUAUAUUGAAGUGUCGGCGAUAUCACUUGAAAGACGCAAAGAUAAAAGAACAGUAGAUGCGAGGCGAUAGAAAUUUCUGACGCGAAAUAAGAAAACCUAUGAGAGUUUACUCGAAUCAAUUUUCGGGUGUUGUUCUCGUACUAUUUUUAGGACUUCGGUUGAAUGGUUCUUUAGGUUCUUAGCAUGGUUGAUGAUGUUAGGGUUGAUUUUGUUAGAACAUUUAUAAUAGACUAGAUUGGAUGCCGCACGAUAUCGCGAAACAUUAGCUUGAUUAUGAUUAGAUGUUAUGCACAUGUGCUUAAGUAAUCGUAUGUAAGCUUGAAUGUGAUAUAAAGAAUAUAAUGUAAGGUACGAAAACAAUUUUUUUCAAUUCGACUGAGAUGGAUGAAUUACGAAGAGUAAGAUACUUAUGAAUUGUUAGCCAACAGCUAUUGACACAAGCGAGUUUGAAACAUUUCCUGGUUAAUGUGGGUGUUUGUUUUGUUCUGUUGGCAUCAUUACUGCUCGCAAAACUACCACCAUUUCACUUCAAUCUACGAAUCUCGAGAAUUCGAAUUAGAUUCGCAAAAUUGGGAACAGCAUGAAGAACGAAGAAGAAGGUUGAAGUAUCAACACGGGAGGCUAAAAGUAUGACCUACAACUUUAUGAACUCUCUGAGCUUGCAAUGACCCCAAGAAACCCUUCAUUUCAUAUCUUGGGACUUCUUUAAAGCAUUGAAGACAUCUUGUAGGGUUAAUUCCUCCACUAUAACCACCUUGUCUCUUGAUUUCGAGCCCGCCCCAAGGGACACCUGCCUUCUUUUCACCCCUAAUACCUGUUCGGAGCGAUCAAGAAAGCCGAACUCGUGAAAAUGGCUGGUAGAACAAAGAAACAGAUACUGUAAUAAGGAUGCCACAAGUUCAUAGCUUAAUUAACUACUAAUUACCAAGGCGGCUUAGUAGCUUCUAUUAAGACCGAGUUGCAGAGGAUAACUAAAC
rnacentral:lncRNA from 1 species